GAUGAACGCUGGCGGCGUGCCUAAUACAUGCAAGUCGGGCGAACGGACGAGAAGCUUGCUUCUCUGAUGUUAGCGGCGGACGGGUGAGUAACACGUGGAUAACCUACCUAUAAGACUGGGAUAACUUCGGGAAACCGGAGCUAAUACCGGAUGAUAUUUUGAACCGCAUGGUUCAAAAGUGAAAGACGGUCUUGCUGUCACUUAUAGAUGGAUCCGCGCUGCAUUAGCUAGUUGGUAAGGUAACGGCUUACCAAGGCAACGAUGCAUAGCCGACCUGAGAGGGUGAUCGGCCACACUGGAGCUGAGACACGGUCCAGACUCCUACGGGAGGCAGCAGUAGGGAAUCUUCCGCAAUGGGCGAAAGCCUGACGGAGCAACGCCGCGUGAGUGAUGAAGGUCUUCGGAUCGUAAAACUCUGUUAUUAGGGAAGAACAUAUGUGUAAGUAACUGUGCACAUCUUGACGGUACCUAAUCAGAAAGCCACGGCUAACUACGUG
rnacentral:rRNA from 1 species